UUCAACUCCUUCUGUACAAAGCACAGCAUCUGUAGCAGUCCUGCGGCAGCAAAGACAACGCCAAGCUCACUAGAAAGGAUGCAUGAGCCAUUUAGUCUGAAGCCAGACUGGAGCAUUAUGCACUGAAUUGGCCCCACAUCAACCAUGUUGGUGGCCAUACACAACAGGCCGAAAGUGGAGGAAAAACGUAUUCACAGAAAGAAGUUAAUUUCCCUUUCUCACAUUUGCAGUACACUGAAGUUCUGGUCUCUUCAAGAAGCUUGAAUGGAAGGAGGAAGAAGCAGGCCUGAACUAGCCAACACUGUGUUUUCAUUUAUACCAAGGAAGUGUUAAUGAUACAUGUGGGGUCUCUAUGAUCUGGUAAUAUACAGCUCCCACACUGCUCAUCUUAUAAAUGUCCACAGGGAUUGUUCAAUCUGCCCUCAGUAUAUAGAACAAAUCUUCUAGGCUGUCCCUCAAAUGGCGGUACCAAUUCUGCAAAUAGUCAUUAGUACUAGGUUUGUUUAAACAGGCUUUCUUUUAUGAGGCAACAUCCCAUUUUAUGACAAUCAUGCUAUUUAUAGACAAAGGCAUACCUUGGUCAUUUCAGGAUCACAGUACAAACUCCUUGCUUGCUUGGGCAGGAUGUGGGCUAAUUCUGAAGGUGCUAAUGAAGGGGAUUGUUGCUAAUGAUUUGAACACCUAUACCAAAAUUGGUUGAAAUUGGUUUUAGCAAAUACUACAGCAGAACAGAAAAAUUGCAUGUCUCCAUAUUACGAUGCCAUUGCUUCUGCAAUGGCAUCUAUAACUUUCUACUGUCUACCUCUAAAGGGUCAAUGAUUCACCUGAAAAGUUGUUGAGAGACUAUUCUUUCUUGUCUUUUGAUGCACACCCUGGUCCCUAAUCUCAGUUUCCAUGCCAGCUCAGUGGGUUGCUUUACAUUAAUACGAGGUGGAUAAUUUUUUAAAACAGGAAAUGCUUUUCCCCUUCUAGUCGUCUUUAUCCACUAAUCUCAGAUUACAAAGUGUUCAUCUCUGUUCUCCCAUCUCCCCGAGACAGACUUUCCAGUGUUUUCUCUUCUGCCACAGCAUGAAGUGUGGCUUUGAGUUGGAAAUGGAUGAAUGUGAACAAAGAUUUCAAAGCUUUAAUAAACCUGACAAGCUAGUGUCAGAUUCUGCCAGAUGAAGAAAUAAGCAGAGAUGGGGACUAAAACAUAUGUGAAAAGUUACUGCAUUGUAUCAUUUCAUUCUGAUCCCUUAUUUUUAAAACACAGAUUGAAACAGUGGGGAAUCUAGGAUAUGCUUUUCCAACUCAAGGCCAGUUUUCUUCCUUCUGCUGUUGAUUUACUGACACCUGGUUUACAUAAUUUUGCAGCCAUUCAGUAGAUGCCACAUCUGAAGAAAUAUUUAUCCCAUGACAUGAGCUCUAAUUCUAGUGUGGGAUUACUGGAUGAUUUGGUGGUUCUUCCCUUAAAUGAGACAAAGUAACUAUAUGAUAAUUGAAACAUUGGAAAGUGCUAAUAUAUGGAAAUAGAACAGAAAAUAAACAGUGCCCAUGUGCAGGGCUAGAUUCUCAGUGAUUCAGUUGGCCCCUGACUCACUGAGGACACAGAUUGAAAGAAAAGGGUGCAAUCUAUUCCCUUCUGAAUUUCCUGGCUAUCAUCAGUAUUUUAUGUGUUACUUGAAUAAGUAAAAAAAUGCAUGGGAUUGGCUGUUCACCCAUGCUGCUUUCCCUUGUACUUUGCAUUUUAUUCAUUUCUUUAAUCUUUGUGCCACUUCUCUUAGAAUAGGCCACACGGGUGUGGAAAAGGAGAUCCUAUUUCAUGACCUAAUCCAAGGCCCCAACAACCUUAAUCCAGCAUCACCCAUGAGUUAGCCAGUUUCUGAGGCUAAACAGUGAAAAUUUAAAUCCCAUGAAGAAUUCAAAAACCUUGAACCAUCUGAAGCCAGAAAUUCAAAGACAGGUAAGCAGGAAUCUCUGUGGCUUGCAAUAAUCACGAUAUAAACUAAAGGCAAUGUCUUCAGAUCAUUUAUAUAUUUCUCUAUGAAAUAUAAACCAACAUCUAUAAAACAAGACCAAUGAUAUGUGGAUUAGUAGCAACAAAAACAAGUCCCUUAUCUGAUUAUGUUCCACAGAAAAGUUUUACUCUAUUAUUUACAAUGGUGAGGGCAAUGAGGGUGCUACUGUAAUUUAGUCCUGCUUGUGGGAUUCCCAGAGGCAACUUGGAUAGCCACUGUUAAAACAGCAUACAAGAGAGACCUUUGGUCUGAUUCUGCAUGGCUUUCCUUUGGGUCUUGGGACCUUUUCGAUAGUGGCAUCCAUUGAAUGGAAUACUUUUCUUAUAGGGCUGGAUUUGGAACUAUCUCACCAAUCUUUUUGGUGCUGGGUGAAGACCGUCCUAAUUGCCCAGGCAUUCCAGAAGAAAUUGUAGGGUUUUUUAAUUUGUAGACUUAUUGCAUUUCAUUACAAUUGUUUUAUUUCUUACAUUGUAGAUAUAUGUUUGUUUCAAUUGUUUUAUUCAAACUUUUGCACACUGCCCAGUCAAUCUCUCAAUGAUGUCAAGAAGUGAUUUAAAUAAAUCAAAAUCUAUUAUACUUGA